CCUACGGGUGGCAGCAGUGAGGAAUAUUGGUCAAUGGACGAGAGCCUGAACCAGCCAAGUCGCGUGAAGGAAGAAGGUACUUAGUAUUGUAAACUUCUUUUGUCUGGGAACAAAGGCUGGGACGCGUCCCCGGAUGAGUGUACCCGAAGAAAAAGCAUCGGCUAACUCCGUGCCAACAGCCGCGGUAAUACGGAGGAUGCGAGCGUUAUCCGGAUUUAUUGGGUUUAAAGGGUGCGCAGGCGGGCGUGUAAGUCAGGCGGCAAAGUUCGGGGCUCAACCCUGGACGGGCGGUUGAAACUGGGUGUCUUGAGUGGGAGAGAGGUAUGCGGAAUUCGUGGUGUAGCGGUGAAAUGCAUAGAUAUCACGAAGAACUCCGAUUGCGAAGGCAGCAUACCGGCUCCAUACUGACGCUGAGGCACGAAAGCGUGGGUAUCGAACAGGAUUAGAUACCCGAGUAGUC
rnacentral:rRNA from 1 species